UAUCUUGGCUCUCGCAUCGAUGAAGAGCGCAGCGAAAUGCGAUACGUGGUGCGAAUUGCAGAAUCCCGUGAACCAUCGAGUUUUUGAACGCAAGUUGCGCCUGAGGCCAACUGGUUAAGGGCACAUUUGCUUGGGCGUCAAAC
rnacentral:rRNA from 3 species